GUAUGGCUGUGUUCUUCUCAAUCCCCAGUCAAGAGAGCUGCCUUAUAUGACUGUCCUGAGGUCAGCCAUGUGACCAAGUCUUCCACAUUGAAAUUACUCUUGCAGAUAUUAUCACUAUUGUAGAAACUAAGAUUGGCCUUUUGAGAUGUCUUUUCAAGAUUUUGCCGUUCUGACAACCACAUGACACCAUCUGGACCUGCCGACCAGUCCUGUUGAGUCCAGGAACUGACUCAGCACUAGAGGACAGCUUUGAUUCCCUAUGAUUUCAUCUCUGACCCAACCAAUCAGUAUGCUCCCUGCCCACCAAACUAUCUUUGAAAAACCCCUAACCUCAUGCCUUCAGGGAGAUUGAUCUGAGUGAGUAAUAACCCCAUUUCCUAUGGGGAGUGACCAGCCUCGUGUCAAUUAAACACUUUUGUUACUACAAUGCCAUGGUCUUGGUGAGUUGAUUUUGUUUGUGCAGCAGGCAGGAAGAACCCAUUGGGCUGGCCGGGUGCAGUGGCUCACGCCUGUAAACCCAGAACUUUGGGAGACCGAAGUGGGAGGAUCACAACGUCAGGAGUUCGAGACCAGCCUGGCCAACAUG
rnacentral:lncRNA from 1 species